AUAUUGAAAUAUUGAAGCAGUCAGGGCGGACAGAUUAUCAGGCAUGCAGUAGCCUGAACCAUGAACGGGUUAUAAAUGGACACAAUCUGGUUUUGUCAGCUGUAUCCUGGUCUGGAGUCUAACCGCGAAAGACGACGUUGUUGUCACCGGAAGGGGUUCCUCCGAUCAAGCUCUUGUUAUUGUGAGUAACUUGACGCAAUGUUAUCCUGCCCGAGGCCACUGGUUUGGACCGCGUUACCCGAGGAAGAUAAGCGGUCGGCGGCUACACCUCUGGCUUCUCUCCGCUUUAAGAAUUCAAAAGGGUUUUGUGAUGCCAGGUGGUUUCAGCUGAGUUUAAACCAUGGCCUCCACCUUGUCCCAGUUGCAGUUUGGUCGACUGUACGCUGUUCGUGCAAAAGUCCUGCGGCGUUACAAACACCAUUCUUUACUGUGGUGUCUGAACGGGCUGUACGGCUGCAGAUGGAGACGUCAGGAGAGCCGUACUCAGCCAGGAGACUGCUGCUGCAACAAGUGUGAGGGCGUCAGCUCUGCUCUGCUGGUGGCAGCCUUUUGUCUAACUCUGGUGUUUCUCUACUUCUGGGCGCACGCCAAGAACGACUACAAUGACUUUGACUGGUUUAACUUUGGGAACCUGGGUUUCUGGUUUCCCUGGUCUGUGGUUCUGCUGGUUGUCACUGCAGCUUUCUUCACCUACAUCUCUGUUCUGAUGUUGUUGGCUCUGUGCUUACUGUCAGAAGGCCAGGAACUGUAUUUGCACUGGGGUCACAAGGUGGGGGUCCUGGUGACCCUGACCUUCUCCAUCGUGGCCACUGCCGUCCUCACUGACCUGUGGGGUGAGGAGUGGGAGACGCUGCUGCUGUCCUUUCAGAUAACUGCGCCUUAUUUACAUGUGGGUGGAGUCCUGCUGAUGACAGUGCUGGCCUGGCCAAUAGCUUUACAUUUCUGUCGCCUAAAGGGCAAAGGUCUCUGUGUGUCAGUCAGACGUGGUCUGAUGGUCGGCUUCUACCUGAUCUUCCUCCUCAUCCUCUACCUCCUUCCUCUGGGUUUAUAUUCUCCAUGUAUCAAAGACAAGCGGACCCUCGGCCCAGCGCCGGCUCUGAUUGGACACAGAGGAGCCCCCAUGCUGGCGCCGGAAAACACACUGAUGUCAUUUGAGAAGGCGGUGGAAGCAGGAAGUGAAGGUCUGGAGACAGACGUCACCAUCAGUUUUGACGGCGUCCCCUUCCUGAUGCACGACCGCACACUCAGACGCACCACCGACGUCCGUGAGGUUUUCCCAAACAGAACUAAGACGUCGGCCGCCAUGUUCACGUGGGCGGAGCUACAGAGGUUGAACGCUGGAGGCUGGUUCCUUUCAGACAAUCCAUUUGGUAGUGUUGGCUCUCUGGGAGCAGAGGAGCGACAGAGGGCGGCCAACCAGUCUGUAUGCAGCCUUCUGGACUUCCUCCAGCUGGCAGCCCGUACUCACAAGCUGGUGAUCUUUGACCUCUACCGUCCGCCCAGAGGUCACCCGUACAGCAUGUCCUGGAUCCAGCGAACACUGGAGGUCAUUCAGAACGAGUCGUCCAUCCUGUCCUCACAGGUUCUGUGGCUGCCUUCAGAUCUCAGGUCUCUGGUCCAGGAAACUGACCCAGAGUUGCAGCAGACGUCAGGGAGCCGGCUCCCUCUGGAGGUGCUCCAGAGAAACCACAUCGUCAAAGUGAACCUGCGAUACUCUGACGUGUCAGCUCGACUCGUCAGCGAGUACUCGUCCGUGAACAUCAGCACCAACCUGUACGUCAUCAGUCAGCCGUGGCUCUACUCCCUGGCCUGGUGCUGCGGCGUCCACUCCGUCACCACCAACAACCCACAGCUGCUCAGCACCAUCAGCUGCGCGCUCGUCCUCUGGGUCCGCCUGUGGAGCUGAGAAAAAGAGUGGACAGCGCCCCCUGCGCUGUAGACUGUAGUCGCGGCGUGAAUUCACCUUUAUUCGCAGCAGUGAUAUUGUUGUACACAGACCCAUGUACAUUUCUCUGGAGUGAUACUGCAGUAUUUGUCCUGUGAUCCUGUGUUGUUUGUUAUGAUCAUCAUCAUACAGUAGGGACAGAAAAAGAGAAAACAGGAAGUUGAACAUCAUAGCUUCACUGUGUAGGACUGACAGCAUGAUCGCCUGUAAGUCACCUGACCAUGUGACAUCAUCAAUGAUGACCUUAUUGACACUGUGACGCCACCAUGUGGUCGUCUCCUUCUGGUAACUUUAGCCAUGAAUCUCACAGAGUCCAGAUGAUUAUAACCUGAUGUGGAUAUUGACUGAUGUUCUCUCCGUGGUGCUGAUCACCAUCACCUUCACUUUUCACUGGUGGCGAGAGUCGGAACUGUCUCUGAGUUCCAGAAACAAAAUCACACCAGACAACAGCACUUAUAGAAAAAUCAAAACAGAGAUGAGUGACAUAUGGUCGGUGUCCGGCUCAAACCUUGGAUCAGAGAAGACGGUGUCAUCGUCACAGAGCUUUGACGCUGCAGUUGUUUGAGGAGAAGCUGAUUCACUGGAGGAAGUACUUUGGUUUGUUACAAACAAUAAAAAUGUACCUUUACCUUAUAAAAAGAAGAUAUAAGAAUGAUAGCUUUUUAACCUUAGAAAUUCUAUUUUAUCAUUAAAUAGAUUCUUAAUCUAAUGUAUAAAAACAGGAAUAAAAGUAUUAUUUUUUGCAA